AACGAACGCUGGCGGCGUGCCUAACACAUGCAAGUCGAACGCGAAAGGGAGCAAUCCCCGGUAGCGUGGCAGACGGGUGAGUAACACGUGGGUAACCUACCCGGAGGUGGGGGAUAACCCUUCGAAAGGAGGGCUAAUACCGCAUGACACCGCGAGGACCUCGGUCCUUGCGAUCAAAGCUGGCCUCUGUUUACAAGCUAGCGCCACCGGAUGGGCCCGCGCCCCAUUAGCUAGUUGGUGAGGUAACGGCUCACCAAGGCGACGAUGGGUAGCCGGCCUGAGAGGGCGAUCGGCCACACUGGAACUGCGACACGGUCCAGACUCCUACGGGAGGCAGCAGUGAGGAAUCUUGCGCAAUGGGCGAAAGCCUGACGCAGCGACGCCGCGUGGAGGAUGAAGGUCUUCGGAUUGUAAACUCCUGUCGAGUGGGACGAAUGCCGAGAGGGUGAAUACCCCUUUCGGUUGACGGUACCGCUGGAGGAAGCCCCGGCUAACUCCGUGCCAGCCGCCGCAGUAAGAC
rnacentral:rRNA from 1 species